UGGGAAUUUUGGACAAUGGGCGCAAGCCUGAUCCAGCAAUGCCGCGUGCGGGAAGAAGGCCUUCGGGUUGUAAACCGCUUUUGGCAGGAACGAAACGGUGUCCGCUAAUACCGGGCGCUAAUGACGGUACCUGCAGAAUAAGCACCGGCUAACUACGUGCCAGCAGCCGCGGUAAUACGUAGGGUGCGAGCGUUAAUCGGAAUUACUGGGCGUAAAGCGUGCGCAGGCGGUUGUGUAAGACAGGCGUGAAAUCCCCGGGCUCAACCUGGGAAUGGCGCUUGUGACUGCACGGCUGGAGUGCGGCAGAGGGGGGAUGGAAUUCCGCGUGUAGCAGUGAAAGUGCGUAGAUAUGCGGAGGAACACCGAUGGCGAAGGCAAUCCCCUGGGCCUGCACUGACGCUCAUGCACGAAAGCGUGGGGAAGCAAACAGGAUUAGAUACCCUGGGUAGUCCACGCCCUAAACGAUGUCGACUGGUUGUUGGGUCUUAGGUGACUCAGUAACGAAGCUAACGCGU
rnacentral:rRNA from 1 species